AUUGAACGCUGGCGGCAUGCCUUACACAUGCAAGUCGAACGGUAACAGGCCGCAAGGUGCUGACGAGUGGCGAACGGGUGAGUAAUGCAUCGGAACGUGCCCAGUCGUGGGGGAUAGCUGCCCGAGAGAGCAGCUAAUACCGCAUACGACCUGAGGGUGAGAGCGGGGGACCGUAAGGCCUCGCGCGAUUGGAGCGGCCGAUGUCCGAUUAGCUAGUUGGUGGGGUAAAGGCCUACCAAGGCAACGAUCUGUAGUUGGUCUGAGAGGACGACCAGCCACACUGGGACUGAGACACGGCCCAGACUCCUACGGGAGGCAGCAGUGGGGAAUUUUGGACAAUGGGCGCAAGCCUGAUCCAGCAAUGCCGCGUGCAGGAAGAAGGCCUUCGGGUUGUAAACUGCUUCUGUCAGGGAAGAAAUCUUCUGGGCUAAUACCCCGGGAGGAUGACGGUACCUGAAGAAUAAGCACCGGCUAACUACGUGCCAGCAGCCGCCGUAAGAC
rnacentral:rRNA from 1 species